rnacentral:rRNA from 1 species
UGCGUAGGCGGAAUAAUAAGUCAGUGGUGAAAUCCUGCGGCUCAACCGUAGAACUGCCAUUGAAACUGUUAUUCUUGAAUGUAGUUGAGGUAGGCGGAAUGUGUAAUGUAGCGGUGAAAUGCUUAGAUAUUACACAGAACACCGAUUGCGAAGGCAGCUUACUAAACUAUGAUUGACGCUGAUGUACGAAAGCGUGGGGAGCGAACAGGAUUAGAUACCCUGGUAGUCC